UGCCUCGCGCUCUUCUUUCUAGGGGGACAGGCUCACUUCCCGACCGAAUGGAUGAGAUUUCCUUCCGGAAGAUGCUCGGAAGGGCACCCUUUACCCUUCGCAGGGAAGGAAGCCUUGGGAAUGUGGAACAGAAAGACCUGAUAAUCUCGGAAAAACAAAAGUGGCCCAGGACUCUUGACCUCUCAAAAGUCAGACUAAGACAAGCUGGCUUAAUUUAUAACGACCUUUCCUAUGCAGUGUCUCCUGCAGAUUUGAUUACUACAAAUCAGUCCCCAGAAACAGAGAAUCAUCUUGCUGUGAAUUGACAAAUUUGGAUCUGUGAAUUUUCAAGUUGAGGACCACCGUGUGGAUGCAGUCAGAAAACCUGCCUUCUUCAGUUUGCUCUCAACCACGUCUCUGCUUCUUAAGUCAGAGUGUGCUUGUAUUGAUCUGACCCAACACGUGUAUCGGCCAUAUUCUGAUGACUCUCAGAUUUAAAUCACUGGAGCUCUCCUCCCAACUUCAGACUCCUACAUCAAAGAAGAGCAUCACAAAUGGUGGUUCCCCCAAAAUUAAAUACAGAAUUACAACAUGAUCUGGCAAUCCCACUUUGGGGAAUAGAUCCAAAAGAAUUGAAGGCAGCAGCUCAGAUAUUUGCAUAUUCAUGUUUGCAGCAGCAUUAUUCAUAACAACCGACAGGUGGAAACAACUCCGAUGCACAUCGGGGGAUGAGUGGGUAAAGUAAACAUGGGUACACUUACAGCACAACAUUAUUCAGCCUUCAGGAGGAAGGAAAUGCUGACGCCUUACCACAUGGAUGAACCUGGAAGGCAUUAGGCUAAGUGAAAUAUACCAGCCCUGAAGAGACAAAUAUUCUAUGAUUUCACUAGAUGAAAGAGGUAUGAGUAAUUAAACUCCAAAACAGAAGUAGAAUGGUGGUUGCCUAGGGCUAGGGGAGAGGGAAU